AUUGAACGCUGGCGGCAUGCUUUACACAUGCAAGUCGAACGGCAGCACGGGAGCAAUCCUGGUGGCGAGUGGCGAACGGGUGAGUAAUAUAUCGGAACGUGCCCAGUCGUGGGGGAUAACGUAGCGAAAGCUACGCUAAUACCGCAUACGAUCUACGGAUGAAAGCGGGGGAUCGCAAGACCUCGCGCGAUUGGAGCGGCCGAUAUCAGAUUAGCUAGUUGGUGGGGUAAAAGCUCACCAAGGCGACGAUCUGUAGCUGGUCUGAGAGGACGACCAGCCACACUGGAACUGAGACACGGUCCAGACUCCUACGGGAGGCAGCAGUGGGGAAUUUUGGACAAUGGGCGCAAGCCUGAUCCAGCAAUGCCGCGUGCAGGAUGAAGGCCUUCGGGUUGUAACUAGUCUUUGUACGGUAACGAAACGGUAGAGCUCUAAUAAAGACUUGCUAAUGACGGUACGUAACGUAAUAAGACACCGGCUAACUACGUAGCCG
rnacentral:rRNA from 1 species